AUAAAGGGUAAUGUUGCCUGUUGGAAUUUGUGAUUUUUCACGGCAUUACCCUAUGGUUGAAUAAUUAGCUCUUUUAGCUGGUUGCUUCUGUUAUGAGGUACGGCUAACAUGGCAUGCGUGGCCAUAUUAUUAAUCUGGCAUUCUUCUCUUAGUUUUAAGUUUGGUUGAAAUUGUUCAGUUGGUCUAUUUUCUCUAUAAUAGUUGUUUAAUGUUUUAUAUUUGAUUUGGCCAGUGAGAAUGCUUAGAGAAGAAU
rnacentral:misc_RNA from 1 species